AACGAACGCUGGCGGCAUGCCUAACACAUGCAAGUCGAACGAGACCUUCGGGUCUAGUGGCGCACGGGUGCGUAACGCGUGGGAACCUGCCCUUAGGUUCGGAAUAACUCCCCGAAAGGGGUGCUAAUACCGGAUAAUGUCUUCGGACCAAAGAGUUAUGGCCUUUGGAUGGGCCCGCGUUGGAUUAGCUAGUUGGUAGGGUAAAAGCCUACCAAGGCGACGUUCCAUAGCUGGUCUGAGAGGAUGAUCAGCCACGAUGGGACUGAGACACGGCCCAGACUCCGACGGGAGGCAGCAGUGGGGAAUAUUGGACAAUGGGCGAAAGCCUGAUCCAGCAAUGCCGCGGGAGUGAUGAAGGCCUUAGGGUUGUAAAGCUCUUUUACCCGGGAUGAGAAUGACAGUACCGGGUGAAUAAGCUCCGGCUAACUCCGUG
rnacentral:rRNA from 1 species